AGGCAGGAAACACAUGAUCAUUGAUGUUCAGCUUGAUUACCACAACAACAGAGUUUAUUCUUUGUGCGAAGUGUUGCGCAUCACUAUGCCUCCCUCCACAUCAAGUGCAUCAAGGAUUCAGGAUGAUAAUGUUGUAGAUGCCAACGAUGAGGAUUAUUGAUGUGUAUAUUGUGCCACAUUCAAAAUUAUUUUCUGAACUGCAUGUUCAUAGAUGGUGAUCACUAGCUUGCCACCGCAUGAAGGACCUAACCUGAGCUUUCA